UACGGGGGGAGCAAGCGUUGUUCGGAUUUACUGGGCGUAAAGGGCGCGUAGGCGGCCACCGCAAGUCAGUUGUGAAAUCUCUGGGCUUAACCCAGAACGGUCAGCUGAUACUGCGGGGCUAGAGUGCAGAAGGGGCAACUGGAAUUCUCGGUGUAGCGGUGAAAUGCGUAGAUAUCGAGAGGAACACCUGCGGCGAAGGCGGGUUGCUGGGCUGACACUGACGCUGACAGCGCGAAAGCUAGGGGAGCGAAGCGGG
rnacentral:rRNA from 1 species